rnacentral:rRNA from 1 species
AGAGUUUGAUCCUGGCUCAGAUUGAACGCUGGCGGCAUGCCUUACACAUGCAAGUCGAACGGCAGCACGGGAGCAAUCCGUGGUGGCGAGUGGCGAACGGGUGAGUAAUAUAUCGGAACGUGCCCAGUAGUGGGGGAUAGCCCGGCGAAAGCCGGAUUAAUACCGCAUAGCGCCUGAGGGCGAAAGGAGCAAUCCGCUUGAAGAGGAGCCCGCGUCGGAUUAGGUAGUUGGUGGGGUAACGGCUACCAAGCCAACGAUCCGUAGCUGGUCUGAGAGGAUGAUCAGUCACACCGGAACUGAGACACGGUCCGGACUCCUACGGGAGGCAGCAGUGGGGAAUAUUGGACAAUGGGCGAAAGCCUGAUCCAGCAAUACCGCGUGUGUGAAGAAGGCCUUCGGGUUGUAAAGCACUUUAAGUUGGGAAGAAAAAGCUUCACCUAAUACGUGGAGCCUUGACGGUACCGACAGAAUAAGCACCGGCUAACUUCGUG